rnacentral:tRNA from 1 species
GGUAUAGCUUAGUGGUAAAGCAUUUGCCUAGCAUGCUCAAGACCCUGGGUUUGAUCCCCAGCACC